CCUACGGGUGGCAGCAGUGGGGAAUAUUGGGCAAUGGGCGCGAGCCUGACCCAGCAACGCCGCGUGAAGGAAGAAUGCUUUCGGGUUGUAAACUUCUUUUCUCAGGGACGAAGCAAGUGACGGUACCUGAGGAAUAAGCCACGGCUAACGACGUGCCAGCAGCCGCGGUAAUACGGAGGUGGCAAGCGUUAUCCGGAUUUACUGGGUUUAAAGGGCGUGUAGGAGGGAAAGCAAGUCAGAUGUGAAAACCAUGGGCUCAACCUGUGGACUGCAUUUGAAACUGUCUUUCGUGAGUACUGGAGAGGCAGACGGAAUUCGUAGUGUAGCGGUGAAAUGCGUAGAUAUUAGGAAGAACACCAGUGGCGAAGGCGGUCUGCUGGACAGCAACUGACGCUGAGGCGCGAAAGCGUGGGGAGCAAACAGGAUUAGAUACCCGUGUAGUC
rnacentral:rRNA from 1 species